AAAGCAGGCCAGGAUGGUUGCCACGCUGUUCGACAACAGCGCGGAGGAAAGUCCGGGCUCCGAAGGAUAAUGCAUCCUGGUAAUUCAGGACGUUAUCAGUGGUCAGUGCUCAGUGUUCAGUGGUCAGAAAAUUUUCUGACCGCUGGGCACUGAUAACUGAUCACUGGUAAGAGGAUUAGAGCUACAGAGACGAGUUGCCUGCCGCCUUUACUUUGCUUCGCAAACUAAAGGCGAAGCGCAAACAGGCAAGUGAAACGAGCAAUCUCUGCAUGGAGCAAGGCCGAAUAGGGGAAGAGUAUUGACAGGGUUUUCGGUAACUUUAGGUCAAUACGCGAAGUGAUCCGCUUCGUUCGGAUUCCCGGGUAGGCCGCAAGAGUCCAUCGAGCCGAAAGGCGAGACCCUGAACCUAAUGCGGUGGAGGGGGGAGUAAUCCUUGGAGUUAGUUGAAUAACCGUCACCUCUUUUUAGAGGGACAAAACCCGGCUUAUUGGCCUGCUUUUUUA
rnacentral:RNase_P_RNA from 2 species